UACGUAGGGUCCGAGCGUUAAUCGGAAUUACUGGGCGUAAAGCGUGCGCAGGCGGUUUUGUAAGUCUGACGUGAAAGCCCCGGGCUUAACCUGGGAAUUGCGUUGGAGACUGCAAGGCUUGAAUCUGGCAGAGGGGGGUAGAAUUCCACGUGUAGCAGGUGAAAUGCGUAGAGAUGAUGGAGGAACACCGAUGGCGAAGGCAGCCCCCUGGGUCAAGAUUGACGCUCAUGCACGAAAGCGUGGGGAGCAAACAGG
rnacentral:rRNA from 1 species